ACGGACACGAGCUUGACUUUCUCCCAGCCCCACACACGCACCAGGAGCUGGUGCAGCUUCAGCUCGUUUUAUUCCCUGUAUGAAAAUAACAGGGAUACGUCACAAACCAUACCUAUGCCUGAGUUUCUCGAGCUUCAAACUCAAAGGGAAUCUCCUUUCCAGGCAGCACCUCUUGCCACUGGCUGACGAUGUGCUUGUCAUCUGACAGAGCUGUGCACGUGGGAUAUGGAGUCUGCACUGCCACUGUGAGACAGCGCCACCCUGUGGGGAAACUGAGGACUCUGGUUACCAACAUGCAAUGAUUCAGGAAGGCGCAACGAUCAAAUAUAUCCACAUCAACAUGCCAUUUAUGGAAUGCACAACAAUCCUUAUUAAACCAAUCCAUAAUUAAUCAAGGCCAAAUGUCAGUAUGGAUUUCCGAAUGUUAGUUUUCCAUGAUGUGUUGUACAGCUGGUGGUAUGCUGUUUAGCCAACCAACAUGACCAUACCUGCCACCAAGCUGCUCAUUCAAAUAGGACGGGAGGAAGAUGCACACCGACGGUUCACAUUGAUAAAGCAGAAAUAUUUAUUCACACUUAAAUCCUACUCUUGGUCCAUGGUAUUUUUGCAAUCAAGAAGAUAAACCUCUCCAACUCCCUACAUAUC